rnacentral:tRNA from 1 species
GUGCUCAUAGCUCAGCUGGAUAGAGUACUAGCCUCCGAAGCUAGGGGUCAGGAGUUCGAAUCUCCUUGAGCACGCCA